GACAGUUUUACUUAACCAUUCUUUCUUCUUCGCGUUGUCGAACAAGAAUAUUUUGUAGAACAUUCUGUAUCAAGUUGUUAGUUGAGUUGUUGUUGUUACUAAAAAAGCAAUAUACAGUGUGUCCAAGACAGGGAUGUCAUAGGGAUAUUGGAAACCAUGGUUAAGUUAGAAAAAAGUUAAUAACGUGCUUUUGAGAAGAUACGCCAAAAAACCGAAUUGUGUUGAUUAUGUUUUAAUUUUUCUGGUGUUGUUUAGAGAGAUAUGAAAAAAUAAUAUUUUUUAUUUGACCAUAACGGACGACUAAUAACUUGAUACACUCAAAACACAGGGCGUUCUACAUAUUUAAUAAAAGCAAUGAUUCCAAAUAGGGUUCGGUUAGUGUAAAGCUCCCUCUUACUUUACUUUACUUUACUUUUUUGACGUCUACAUUUGAGAAUUAUUUUAUUUAGUACUCGUUAAUGUACAGCAUAAGAGUAAAUUAGGUAAUGGGAAAAUAUAAAUUAAUUAUGAUGAAAUAGUCCCAGAUACGAGCUUUAGAAAGGCUAGGAGUGACUAUUAAAUUCUGAUAAGCAAGCACUAAAAAAUAGAUGGGACAGUCUUAUGAAAUGUAGAAGGAAGAGUAGCAUUUGCAAUUGACAUAUAAAAAGGAAAGCUGAAGAUCACGAAAAUAAGUAAAUUCCAACAGCCAGCAGCAAUAGCAUAAACGAAGCGAUCCGGUGACAACGCUCAUAGAUGAGAGAAUUGGUGCACGUAAUGAUAUGGACGUUGUGUGAAGUUCCCGUAAUGUGCAUCCCAUUUUUCUAACGAGAAAACAAUCGACCAUUGAAAAUUCGCUUU